GAGGAGCCGGCGUCAGGGACACAGACACCGGCCAGUCACCAGCUGCCAUCCUGGGCAGGGAGCCCUGGGGCCACCAUAGGAGUGUGUCCUGCUGAAACCUCCUUUCUUCUCCUGGGAGGCCGGGGAUGGCCAGCGUGCCGACCGUGGCUGUGGGACCUCUGUGAGGGGCUGUGGGGCCUGGGAUGGAUGGACCUGUUCGAACCCUGAACUUAAAGAGGAAAGACCUUCAUUUUCUUGGCCUCCUUGCGUCCCCUCCCAUACUAUCUAGCUCUUUCCCCCUUCCCCGGAGCUCCUGAGAGACCAAUUGCAAAUGACCUCAGCUUGGCAGGGUCUGUUGGGGGACAGGCCCAGGGAUUUGGGAUCAGGAAGACCUGGAGUGCGGGCAUACCAGCUGUGCAUCGGGAUUUGAUGCUGCAGACUCAUUCCCUAAGGCUAUCUUGACAACUGACUUUAUACAUAGAAAAGCUCUCCUUUAUCUUUAAAAGAUGAAGAGCCAGUCAAAGCCUUUUUUCUCUGCCCAUCUGAUUGCUCAGUUUCCAAUGUGAGACGUAUUUCCUGUUAAUAAGGAUAAGUUACUAUCCGUAGUACUAUGGUUAAAAUAUUCUGACACAAGUAAUUCAGAGGGAUGAGGGUUUCUCAUCUCUUUCUUCACAGCUCAGUCACUCCUCAGGAAAUGCAUCGUUAUGGAUUUGGAAAAAACUGAGAGACAUUAUUACCAAUGGUCCUAUUAUUAUGUGAAGGAUCCUUCCCUGAGAUUCUUCCCCUGUUUCAACUGACACUGAAACACUUUGAACUCUUUGGAAGACAAAUGUCAAGGAAAUAAAUGUUAUGCCUUGCUAAUUUUAAAA